UGAUCACUAGAUGAUGAAACUAAC
rnacentral:siRNA from 1 species